rnacentral:rRNA from 1 species
UACGUAGGGGGCAAGCGUUAUCCGGAAUUAUUGGGCGUAAAGCGCGCGUAGGCGGUAAAGUAAGUCUGAUGUGAAAGCCCCCGGCUCAACCGGGGAGGGUCAUUGGAAACUGUUGUACUUGAGUACAGAAGAGGAGAGUGGAAUUCCAGGUGUAGCGGUGAAAUGCGCAGAGAUAUGGAGGAACACCAGUGGCGAAGGCGGCUCUCUGGUCUGUUACUGACGCUGAGGUGCGAAAGCGUGGGGAGCAAACAGG